rnacentral:lncRNA from 1 species
AUAAAGUUUCAUAAAAUUGUAACUAGCUUUCCUUUCCAUCACAAUACAUAUACAGUUUCAGAUCAACGACAAAAAAUAAUGCUUCAAGUAGUAUAAAUAUAAUCUUAAAUUUAUUUUUAAUAAAGUUGUAGUAUGUAAAAUAUCAUUCAUCAUAAUAAAAAAAAAUUGCCAGCUUCUAAAAAAUUAUGUUAGAUUAGUAUAUGAAUAAAUUUGUUGACUAAUGAAUAUUUUUUUUUAAUAAUUUUUGCAGAUGUUGUUAGAAUACAUAUUAUCUCCAAAUCAAUGGUUCUCUGCUACGAUUACUCAAUUUGCAAAUCAUCAAUAUCUUAAAGAUUUUGUAGAACUUAUAGAUGCAGACGAUCAAGCUUCUUUAUUGUGCAGUCCAUUCCAUGGAUUCAUUUGCGAAAUUAUGUAUAAAAAGCAAAAUGAAAAAUUUAGCAGUAAAUUAAU